UUAUUGAGCUAACUGAACCCAAAUCCAUAAAAUUUGAUACAAAUCUUUCUAAAAAAAUUUAAGAAGUUGAAAAUUGUUGACCUUAUAAAUUUGGUGAAGCAGGAUUUUUGGCACAGCAUUGAACGAUGCUUAUUCGUAUUCCUACGUAUAGCUGCACCCCUAUUGCGGUUCUAUGAUAAACUGAAUUUGAUUUAUCACCAUUAAAUCGAAAUUAUCACAGAACCGGAACAGCCCACUUUCAAAAAUAACUUAAAUUUCUCAAGUCUGUUAUCAAGUUGCCAUUGCUUGAGAACUGCCAAUAACUUUCGCUCUUACACUGCUCUUACUGCCGCCGAAGAGCUGAUCCUGCAACAGUUAAGUUCAUUAUGACCACUGACACCGAUUGGAGAAGACAUUGAAGGUACUUUCAUGGGAAAAAUAGUUCAGCGGAUUAGAAGUUUUAGACAGAAGAUCAUUAAUGAAAAUAAGGAGGAGAGUCAAAUUAAAGAGCGGAGCACUGAAGCACACCACCAGCGUUUAUUUUGUGUGUUUCAGGCUUCAAUCCAUCAGUACGUCUUCUAUUGGACGGUUCGAAACGUUAUUUCUAAUCCAAUGAAGAUGAAAAUCAUCUAUACCAAAUGUAUGCAUUCUAAAUAAAGGAGCUUGAGGCCAAACUCUAUUACAUGCCUUUGAAAUAUCGAGCGCCAUAAUCAUACUUGAAAUAUCGAGCGCCAUAAUCAUACUUUCUGCAAAACGAUGUAAAGAUUUGUUCUACUGUUCGGUGAGAUAAACCAUCAAAUUUCAAGUGGACGCGAUCCUGCAAAAAUUUAGUUCGUCCCGUUCGUCAAAUAAGGGCGUUGCUGGCCUUCAUAGCUUGUUUAGACUUUUUUAAGAAGAGAUUGAUGGACUUAUAAAUUAAUUUAUGUGAGUAUUAGGGCGUUCGUUAUUUAGGUUUUUUUUCGAGAAUCAAUCUCCUAAGUGAAAAAACUGUUUCUAAAUAAUAAAAAAAGGGUUUAGUCAGGGCAUGCAUGUUUUUUUAGGUUUAUGUUUUAUUAAAACAAGCAUAUGAAACAGCAAGAAAAAUUAAAUGCAACAAAAAAAGCAUGCAUGUCCUGACUAAACCCCUGGUCCUAGAAUAAUGAUGUAUACCUUUUUGAUAACGUUGUUUAAUGUAGACAAGAACCUCAUCAAAAACUUUUGAUCUAUAAACUUUUAUAUCUACAAAAAUGGCCUCAUAAGUCAACACAUACCUAUUUCAAAUGAUAAAAAACUUUAACCCUCUUGGGCGCCAUCUAGUGUCAAAAUAAAAAUCUUAAAAAAUUAGAAAUUUUUUUUUUAUUAUUUAGAAACAGUUUUUCCACUUAGGAACUUGAUUCAAAAAUAACGAACGCCCUAGUGAGUAUAUCUUCUAUUGUUAUUUUUUUUAAUCAACCCUUUCUUUAAUUUUUGCAGAUAUAUUUCAUAGGAGUGUAGUAAAGUGAAACAAGUUAAGCAUUAGAAAGAUCAAAACAAGACAAGAUGAUAGAACAAAAACUUUUAGUACUUGAGGCAACACAACCAUUUCCCAACAGAUUCUUAAAACAUGUAUUCUUUAACAAAAAUUCAAAGAAAUACGGGAUGCUUUUAAUCCAGUCAUGAAUGUCUUGUUUUCAAAUACAAUAACGAAAUGGAAUCAGUUUGCUUAAAACUUCUGAAGAAAAGCUGUCAAAUAAUCCUAAAUUGACAGUAAACCCAUUUUCAACAAAGUUUCAAACAAAAAUGUAAAACAUCGGUAUGUCAUCAGGUCAUAUGUUAAACAGAAAGUUGAUGGGAUCAGAAGGCCCCAUUUCUCCUGAUCGGAAAGCUAGCUAGGAGAGAAUCACUUUUCGGGAUGACAAGAAUUUGGAAAUAGGAAUACCUAACCACAAAAAUGCCUGCAUGAAUGAUACUCGAAUUGUAUUAGUUGAUUAGUUGAACUCAGCAUUCGUUCCAAAGGUGUACAUACAUUUUUGUGUGGAAACCGCACACCCAUGAAGGCAGAAGAGUCGGAAGACCGAGAAGCUCAUGUCGGAAAACAAUCGAGGAAGAGUCAGAGCACAAGGCAACUUAUUAAGAGCUGGAAGGAGGAGCUGGAACUGUAGUUGAGACCCUAUAUCCCCCUAGAGAUCACCCACGGACGUAGUAUUGGGUCUACGUACCAAAGCGAAUAAGUGUUUGAAGGCCGCAACACAUUAAAAAGUCACUUUAGUACUAACAAACGGUUGGUAAGCGACGUACUCGUCGAUUAAACUAUUUCAUCGCUAUCUUUUUUUUUUGUUUUACACACUUAGAAUGGUUAGAAAAGUUUAAAAACUGAAUUCUAUUUCAAUUUAAGUAGAAAUUAUGCCAUUCUGUAAAAGCUAUUAACCCGACGUCUAUUUAAAGAAAACAUAAAAAAUUGGCGAGUGUUUUAAUGAAAUAAGAGGGCUAAAAGGAGGAGGAUCGAUAGCUAAUUAUCUCCCUUAUACAAUUUAAACUAUUUUUUAAGUCUGCCUU